rnacentral:lncRNA from 1 species
GUGCUUCAACUUCAAUUUCUGCACAGACCAGUUUCAGAUAUUGUUUGUUGUUGAUUCUUAUUCUCUUGCAUGAUGGUUCCAGGAGAAUUGACGGGUAACUGAUGCAAGGACCACUGGCUUAAGUGAAAACCUGAAAGCUCAGGUACUUGAAUUGUCCUUUGAGUUCAAAUGCACUGGCAUUGAAAAUGAGUGGCCUGGAUAGAAGCAAGAUAGUGUUUGAGAAUAGAA